rnacentral:rRNA from 1 species
UGUUGGGUUAAGUCCCGCAACGAGCGCAACCCUCGUCCUUAGUUGCCAUCAUUCAGUUGGGCACUUAGGAAACUGCCGUGAUAGCCGAGAAGUGGGGAUGACGUCAAGUCCUCAUGGCCCUUACAGGCUGGGCUACACACGUGCUACAAUGGCAUCUACAGUGAGCAGCGAUCCCGCGAGGGUUAGCUAAUCUCCAAAAGAUGUCUCAGUUCGGAUUGUUCUCUGCAACUCGAGAGCAUGAAGGCGGAAUCGCUAGUAAUCGCGGAUCAGCAUGCCGCGGUGAAUACGUUCCCAGGCCUU